GUAAAUUUUAAGUUUGUCUUCAGCCUGAGAGAGUGCCUGUUGUGACUCCAUACCACGAUGAUUCACAUGGCGGGGUUACCGAUAGUGUACGUGUAAGUAUACGGACUGACAUUACAUCAGUUAACUACGUGUAACUGCAUCCGGUUCACCCGGUUUUGGGUGAGGCAAAACGAAGAAGGAAUGCUCAGUUGACCAGACCCUCCCGGAGGCACGGAGGGUGUGGUCUGGCUACGUGAGACUAUCAAUGCUCUAUCAGUUUCCAUAGCAAUUAAUUACACUUUUAUUAUCGAGAAUAUUAGCAGCUGUAAAAUUACUUAAAGUAUAACAAAUAGUGAUGGGGGACCAUGUGGCAUAAAAUGGGUAAGCAAAUCUAUUUGGAGUGGCUUAAAUAUAAUACAUGUUUGUAGUAGGGCAUGGUCCACACAAGCUGCCAUCCAUGGGCAUAGAUAAUAGAGUAAAUCUAUGACAUGAAGAGGGCGUUUAAGCCCCACCCUUUAACAUAUAGAAUGCUUUACUCAGCAUAAAACCAACAAUUUAUUCUAUUACCAAGCGCUAGCGCUUGGUAUGUAGGGUUGAGUUGGACGAGCGCACCCCCAAAAUGGCUGCCUUCCCAGAAGCAUUGAGCCAGUGUAAAUCUUCAGGAAUUCUUUAUGACUUAUCUGACAGUCAGGAUGUCCUUUAUAAUUUUAUUAGAACAGGUUAGUGUUAUAAAAAGUAGUUAAAAACUUCCAUAAGAUAGUUAUACGGCAAAUGAAUGCAUGCAUGCCUGCAUGCACCAAAUGUUCAGCUUUCUCCUUCUUCUUCCACAGUUAAGGAAGAACUAGUCCUACAGUUUUUAUCCUAGAAAUAUGAUUUUUGCACCAUUGUAUUGCACUUCAGGGACGCUAGUGCAGUGUGGCUUGGCAUUGUAAUUCUACAAAAUGAUUUUUGUCGUCAUUUUCAAGCACAUAAUUGACUCACCAAGUGGUUGGACGCCAUUUUGAUGCAUCCAACUGCGCAUGCUCAGUAUUAUUCAAUGGGGACUCCUUUGUUCUUUACUGACUGAUCUAUACCGGAUGAGAUGAGAUUGAGAUGAUGUACUUGCCUAAACACCCUAUCUACAAGAUUCUCUUGAAAGUUUGUAUUUAUGCUUCAAUUUGCCUUCAUUACUUAAUCUCUUCAAGUAAGUCUCACCACGCCCCUUUGCUACCUGCAGAGCCGGAGGAAGGGUCUGGAGACCGUGCACUUCCAUCUAAAAUGUGUGCAAAGAAGAACACGUGGUUGAGCUACAUCAUGUGACAGAGGAGACCAGAUCGGUCAAAAUAGCUGAAACAGAUGCUUUGCAGCUAAAAAAGUUGAGGAUAUAGUCCCUUGAACAUCUCUUGCAUAUCCUUCCUCCGGAGGUAAGUGAAGUGGUGGGGCGA